rnacentral:lncRNA from 1 species
GAUAAUACAAAAACAGCUUGAUUGGUUACAGCUCAGCAUUUCCUUAUGUGGGUGUGAUGUGGUGAGGCAUUGCCUUAUAUAGACAUAUUCUAUCAAUUGAAAGUCUGUGAUUGGCUGAAACUCAAUUGACAUGAUUGGCUUGAACAGCUUCAGUAGGAUUGGUAUCAGUUUGUCUUUGUAUACCUGUUAAAAUGCAGCUAUGAAUCUGCGGUUGUAUGUUUCCAGGAAUUUAUCCAUUUCCUCUAGAUUUCCUAGUUUUUGUCCAUAGAGAAGCACAUAGAAAUAUCUGAUCUUUGUGUUACUGUGGUAUCAGUUGUAACGUCACCAUUAUCAUUUCUGAAUGUGCUUAUUUGAAUUUUCUGUUGACCUUUUCAUAUUGUGUUCUGAGAAUUCUUUAUACAUUCUGCCUAUAUGCCAUGGAGUACUAUGCAGCCAUAAAAAGAAUGAGAUCAUCUUCUACUUAUAAGUGGGAGCUGAAUGAUGAGAAC